GGGCAUCUCCAUCGGGCAACUCACAACAUGGCAGCAAGCAAGCAAGAGGGUAAGAGAGACUGCCAGCAACAGAGACAGAAAGCCAGCGAGAUGCAGGGAACCCCAUUUUAUGCUGUCUUGGCAAGACAAAGAAAAUCCAAGUUGUGCAUGGCAGUAAAGGGGAGCCUGGAAGCAUCUCUGGCAGUUCCUUUCUUUCCCAAUUCUGAAGUGGGAAAAAGUGAGAAAGAAGAGAAAGUGGAAGUAAUGAUGAAACAAAUGUGCAAAGACUGACCCUUACUGAUGUGCAUCAAUGAAAGGAGGACAAAGCAGGCUUCUACCUCCUCUUCUUUUUGUAUUUUCUUUCCUCUCUUCUCAGUUUUUCCUAUUUCUAUUUUUCUUUCUCUUCAUAAGCUUUCUUCUCAGUUUUUACACUCCCACAUUACAUUUCAUCUUGGUCUUUGUUUUUCUUCCAAUCCUGUAAUUUAUUUGGUACCCAGGGGAUAUAUCUCAGGAAAUCUGUUACCCUAUGUCUCUUUGCUGUCUAGUUAUUUGACAAUGUUUCCUUCUCUAAUAAAGUUUUCUCCUUCUUUAUGUUCCCUCUCAUAUGUUAUCCCUUCAUUAUAUUAAGAUACUCAAAGAAAGGAAAAUGCCUUGGCUGUCUUUUCCACCAACCAAGCUGGAUGUAAUUCCACUGUUUGCUGAGAAAAGAAUUGCGUGUGACUCACAGGGUUUAUCUUUGUCCGGACGCUCUGUUCAUCACGGGUUAUGUUGUUUGGCUG
rnacentral:lncRNA from 10 species